UACUACCAUGUACAGCAUUAAAUUUGACACAUUUUUAACUAAUUUAAUUAUUUCCACAUAUAUAGCUACAUAAUGCUUUAAAUUAUUGAGUAUACUGUGUCUGUCGGUAGAACAGUACAGUGUUCUGUUCUGAACUGAUCUCAGAUCAGCGCUAAGCGUCGCUCGCAUCUCGCAGCUCUUCACUGACUCCAUUUUGUGUGAAAGGAUUGUUCGCACAGUCACGACUCAUUCAGAGGAGAAACAUCAGAAAAAGAAGAUGAGCGGUUGUCGUAUUUUCAUCGGUCGAUUAAACCCGUCUGCUCGGGAGAAGGACGUCGAGCGGUUCUUCAAGGGUUAUGGGAGAAUCAGAGACAUUGACCUGAAAAGAGGCUUCGGAUUUGUGGAAUUUGAUGAUCCAAGAGAUGCAGAAGAUGCUGUUUAUGAUCUUGAUGGGAAAGAGCUCUGCAAUGAGAGAGUGACCAUUGAACAUGCCCGUGUCCGCCUGCGUGGGGGCCGAGGUCGUGGUGGUGCUGGUGGAGGUAGUGGGGGUGGUGGAGGACGUUUCCCUGCUCGGUAUAGUCGUGGCUCCCAGGACAGCCGGAGGAACCCUCCACCGAUGCGCACAGAGAAUCGUCUCAUUGUGGAGAAUUUGUCGUCAAGAGUCAGCUGGCAGCCUGACUGUUGUGUCGUAUGGAAGAGCUCGCUAAUGGUGGAGUUAACCCCUACAGGGUCCCUCUCUCUGGUUAAGCCACUCCCAUUGUGUCCCACGCCUAGUUGACCUCCGCCGAUCGCACGAGAGCUCUCUGUGAGUGAUGCCCUCUCGAUCUAGACGCAGCGGCUGCCGCUACAAAGCGCAGUUUGUGACGGUGCCGAGCUGAAAGAGAGAGAGAGACAGAGAGUGAAAUCGAGAGAUCGAGAGAGAGAGAGGGGCAGAAAGAGAGCGAAAAAAAGAGAAAAAGAGAGCGAAUCUCUGGCUUACGCAGUCAAUCGAGGGGUUCGGUAAUUUGAGAGGCUUCAAUCGGUAUACUCACCCACCCUGCUCUCUGGUGGUCCCACACACGUGGCCGAGGAUAAAACAGCCCGAUGGGUACGUUCCCAGGUAUUAGUCUAUAAUCUCUUCCUCGCUGUUUACGCUCGGUGCCCUUGAGGGGACGGCACAAAUAGGGUACGAUCGAUGGAGGGAGGCCUUGUGCUCUACCACACUGUAUGCACUUGUGUGUUGGUAAGAAUGCAUUUGCCAUGUAAAUGUACAUUUUACUACAUGUGGGGCCCUUUUUUUACGAGCCGCUCCACAUAGUUCCUCUGCUAGUCUGAGUCUUGUAGUUACAGGGGUCCGGGAAUGUCACAGCAUUGCAAGCCAAAAUUUCCCAGGUCAACAUUGUUCCCUUGAUAACACUGGCAACACUUUUUGUUCCAGUGCUCAUUAAUUUUGGCGAUAAAACACAGAAGUCUUUGUGUUUGCACAUUUGAGAAGCCAGGGUUGCCAUCACAACCUUUGAAUAGAGCUUAGAAAGACCGUGAAUUGGAUUCACCUCUUCGCUGCACACCAUGUUGUGAUUCUAAGUGUCCACUUGGCUUUUUGCGAUUCUUUUCUGUUUACUAAUUCAGAACGUUACCCUACACUUUUUGUUGGUUACAAAUCUAUCUGUGUGCUGCGAUUUUCUUACCUUCAAUUUCAUUUUGAUGUUUAUAUAUAGCAUAUUGAACAUGGUCCAGGCUUGAGCAAGAUCUGAGAGGUUCUCGGACCCCAACUUUGAUAGUUAAUUCACCUUGAUGCUUCAUAAAAGGUGUAAAUGUGCUUACCUAAGUUACCUAGCUAACUCAAAAUGCUGCUGUACUGUGUGUAGGAUUUAAAGGAUUUCAUGAGACAAGCUGGAGAGGUUACUUUUGCAGAUGCCCAUCGACCAAAGCUUAAUGAGGGUGUGGUUGAGUUUGCCAGUCAUAGUGAUCUAAAAAAUGCCCUGGAGAAGUUGUCUGGGAAAGAGAUCAAUGGAAGGAAAAUCAAACUUGUUGAGGCAUCCAGGAAAAAGUGAGU